rnacentral:rRNA from 1 species
CCUACGGGGUGCAGCAGUGAGGAAUAUUGGUCAAUGGUCGGGAGACUGAACCAGCCAAGCCGCGUGAGGGAGGAAGGUACAGAGUAUCGUAAACCUCUUUUGUCAGGGAACAAAGACUGGGACGCGUCCCCGGAUGAGUGUACCUGAAGAAAAAGCAUCGGCUAACUCCGUGCCAGCAGCCGCGGUAAUACGGAGGAUGCGAGCGUUAUCCGGAUUUAUUGGGUUUAAAGGGUGCGCAGGCGGUCUGUUAAGUCAGCGGUAAAAGCCCGGGGCCAAACCCCGGCCCGCCGUUGAGACUGGCAGUCUAGAGUUGGAGAGAGGUAUGCGGAAUGCGCGGUGUAGCGGUGAAAUGCGUAGAUAUCGCGCAGAACUCCGAUUGCGAAGGCAGCAUGCCGGCUCCACACUGACGCUGAGGCACGAAAGCGUGGAUAUCGAACAGGAUUAGAUACCCCUGUAGUC